rnacentral:misc_RNA from 1 species
GAUGAAGAACGUAGCGAAAUGCGAUAAGUAAUGUGAAUUGCAGAAUUCAGUGAAUCAUCGAAUCUUUGAACGCACAUUGCGCCCGCUAGUAUUCUGGCGGGCAUGCCUGUCCGAGCGUCAUUUCAACCCUCGAACCCCUCCGGGGGGUCGGCGUUGGGGAUCGGCCCUCCCUUAGCGGGUGGCCGUCUCCGAAAUACAGUGGCGGUCUCGCCGCAGCCUCUCCUGCGCAGUAGUUUGCACACUCGCAUCGGGAGCGCGGCGCGUCCACAGCCGUUAAACACCCAACUUCUGAAAUGUUGACCUCGGAUCAGGUAGGAAUACCCGCUGAACUUAAGCAUAUCAAUAAGCGGAGGA